ACUGUGCCUGGGCAUUGUCUGGAGGACACAGGAUGACACAUUUAAACACUGUGGACGGGCACUGAGCAUCAGACAAGCCCCGGCACUGCCUUUAUUCCCAUUUCCAGCACACCUGUUAAACCAGGACUGUGGAACCAGGUCUCCAUGGAUCAGGAAUUAGUCAGAAAGGGUCAGAGAAGCAAAGAUAAAGCACAGUUACUCAGUUUAGAACUCUUUGGGGUAUCUGCACGUUGAAUACUUUAAUUUUAAAAAGGUAAGAGUGGGAAGGUUCAGGAAAGGGCACUAAGAUUCAUCAAAGAUCGUGGAAUUGGAGAAUAUCCCGAGCUGGAAGGGACCCACAAGGAUGUCAUUGACUCAUUUAGGUUGGAAAGGACCUCCAAGGUCAUUGAGUCCAAGCUUUGACCCAUCACCACCUCAUCAACCCACCCAGAGCACUGAGUGCCACAUCCAGUCAUUCCUUGGACACCUCCAGGGGUGAAUCAUCAAGCCCAACUCCCAAAACGCUGCUGAAGCCCGGGAUUGAACCAGGGACCUUUAGAUCUUCAGUCUAACGCUCUCCCAGCUGAGCUACUUCAGCCCUGAAGUGAGGAUCCCUUUCCCUGUGACGAACAGGCAGACCCACCAGGACAGCCUGGAAAAAGGCACUUUUUAGGGAGAGAGCUUGUUUCAAGCCAAAUACCUGUGGGUCGACCUUCCUACAUCUUCUCAGGGCAGUCCAGGACACAGGACUGGGAAAAAACAGCUGAAGGAACUAAAGAAAAACCCCUUUCUAUCACUAUUUUUGCUGAUGCCUUUGAAUUAAAAACCAUGUCCCUGUUUCACAGACUCAGACUGGUUGAGGUCAG